ensembl:lncRNA
CUCUACUCUUCUCCUCCCCUUGUCUCCUCUUCUCCUCUUCUCUUCUCCUCUCCUCUUCUCCUCCUCUUCUCCCUUCCUCUCAUCUCCUGUCCUCUUCUCCUCCUCUCCUCUCCUGUCUCCUGCUGCUGCUCUACUCUUCUCCUCCCCUCUCCUCUUCUCCCUUCCUCUCAUCUCCUCUCCUCUUCUCCUCCUCUCCUCUUCUCCCUUCCCCUCCUCUCCUCUCCUCCUAUCCCCUUCUCCUCCCUGUCUGCUGCUGCUGACGCUCUCUAGUGCCUUCAGUCCAGCUCCAGCAGGGCCAUGAGUCACACGGCCAGACUAACCAAACCAAACCCCCCCGCGCCGCCGCCGCCAGCGGCCGUGGAACCGGACCAGCCACCACUUUGCCUUCAGCUCGGUUCUUUAGAACUGCCAAUGAAUGUGGAGACCCAGUUAGUGUUCUGGCGGGUUACGAGCGUAGAACUUCAGUCGUUCUCUUCUCCUCCUGCAGUCGCUCUCUUCUCCUCCUUCAGUCGCUCUCUUCUCCUCCUGCAGCCUGUCUCACUGCAGCCUGUCUCUCUGCAGCCUGCCUCACUUGAGGCCUCCUUCAGUAGCUCACGUCUAAUUUAUAAAAAGAUUUUUAAAGUUUAUUACAACUCUUGAUUAACCAGCAGUGCUGAUAAAGACUGUUGAGAAUGUGUGUGUGUGUGUGUGUGUGUGUGUGUGUGUGGCCGUUCCCCACUGUGCAAGCUACUUGAGUGAUCCAGCUAAACCUUUUAGAUCCUUAUAGAUGAUAUCAGCACCUUAAAAGCCCCUGUGUGUUCUUAUAAAGUCAGAUGACUCGUACAGGCCUUUACAUAGAUCUAUGAAAACUUUCAUUGAUCUUCACAGAUUGGCAACGAUGUCCAAAAACUCCAUCAGACCCCAACAGACAGCUAAAUAUUAAAAACUUCAUCACAGUAAAGUCUAUCCCUGAAGACACCAUCAGAUUCCUAAAGCCUCCAUCUGAUUCCUAAAGACUCCAUCAGAUUGUUACAGACUCCAUCUGAUUCCUAAAGACUCCAUCUGAUUCCUAAAGACGCCAUCAGAUUCUAAUAGAACCCUAAAGACCCAUAAAGACUCCAUCAGAUUGUUAAAGUAUCCAUCAGAUUCCUUAAGACCCUUAAAUACUCCUAUAGACCCUAAAGACUGGCACAAUCCUAAAUGCACAUGUGGGUGUUGACUUUUUAAGCCUCCAGAUAAGCCUUAUAUAUCCAUAAAGAUCUGCACAGACUCUCAUGUCAUAAAGAUCUCCAAAGACUCCAUCAGAACUCCAUAGGUGGCAGCAGACCAACGCAGACCCUAAAGACUCCACUAGGUGGCAGCAGACCAGUGCAGACUCCACUAGACUGCUGCCUAAAAGCACACGUGUGUGUGUGUGUGUGUGUGUGUUGCAGGGAGACUCGUCCAUAUGAUGAGACUCGUGUCCCUCUGCUUUUAUUUGACCUUUGGCCUUUUAUAUGACAUGUCAUUUCUCUAUCACCUGUGUGUGUGUGUGUGUGUGUGUGUGUGUGUACUUGUGUUCUUGUUCACAUUAAUGUACAUUUAUGGGAGAGUUGCUGCCCUGUAAGUAUGUCCCACUCAGGACAUAGAAGAUGGUUAAUAGUGUGCGUUAAGAAGUGUGUGUGUGUGUGUGUGUGUGUGUGUGUGUGUGUGCGCUUGGCGCUGCUAAUGUCAUGUGACGUGUCUUGCUCAGUGUGUGUGGUUCUUGUGUUCGUACAGAUUUUUCUUGAAUGUUCCCAGAACUUUAUUAAAGUGUAACAUCUAAAACACUAAAACAUGACUUUACUCUGAGGACGAGUGUGUGUGUGUGUGUGUGUGUGUGUGUGUGUGUGUGUGUGUGUGUGUGUGUGUGUGAGAGAGAGAGAGAGAGAGAGGUCUGUAGCCUUCAGUCAGAUAAUCUAAGCACUACAACAUGGCAUCAUACUGAGGACGAGUGUGUGUGUGUGUGAUGUCUACGACCCUCAGUCACGUAAUCUGUAACACUAUAACCCCAGUGAGAAAGAGUAGUGUGUGUGUGUUUAGUUCUCCUCUUAGUGUCAGAGGUGUGUGUCUGCACGUGUGUGUGGGUCCUGCUGUGUGUACGUGUGUGUGUGUGUGU